CAACGUUGUAAGCAGGUUUAUCUGGAAAAGAAAUCACAUACUUAGUUUUAUUAUUUUAAAUCCUUUAAUUGUUUUUAAAUGUGACCUUAAAAGAGAAGAUUGGUGUUUCCAAAAUAGGUUUCUUGCGGUUCACAGAGAAAUGGGGCAAUUUUCCUGGAAAAUGUCUGAGGAUGAAGCGCAACCGAAACUUUUAGGGGGCUUCUGUAGCAGACUUGCAUCUACAAAGUGACCAGUCAAUUCAAGUGCGCAAAAAUUUUUUUUGAAAGGCAGGCUGUUGCAAAAUUUGCUCCAAAGUUCGAAAUGUUCUAAUAAAGUCCUUGAAGAUGCCACAAAA